GUCUACUAAAAAGGGUCCAAACAAACACUGAAAAUAUACAUAAGCGAAUGAGUUUUGCUAGCUUUAUCUCAAGGGUCAUUAAAGCCCUUGAAAUAAGUCAACAUAACCGUUUAGGGUAAAAAAAAAAAAGGAAAUUACGGACCAGUCUUUAGGCUUAGCAGCAUUCCCGCGAGAGCUUUGGCUCCAAAAUAUUACAUUUUUCGGCACCACUUUUACGCGACCCUCGUAAUAAAGAUAUUCCAAAACCUCAACAGAAUGUGGUCGACGACUUAGCUCCGGUGCACGGUGGUCGGAGAUAUCAUCUCCGAUGACGAGCUGAGGGCACGGUGGUCGGAAAUAUCAUCUCCUCCACUUCUUCGUUCGUUUACAGGAUUUAUGCUGACUGGAUCAAUACUCAUGGUUGGUGGCAAUAAUGCUCAGCUUAAGUUGCUGCAUAAUUGAUGCUGGUGCUGCUUAAGUUGCUGCAUAAUUGCUGGGCUGUUGUUGGAGGUGUGAUGGAUGCUUUGAUUGAUUUGGUGUGUCAUUACCAAACACAAAUAUACAUUACAAGUUUACUUUAUCCUAGUUUUAUUUAUUUUUCCACAACAUUGCCUGAUGAGACUAUUUUGGCAAGAGUUAGUCUAUAGCUCUGCCUUUUGUUACUAUCAAAUGUUGGAUGUUUGAUUGCUUGAAUAUUAACUAAUACCAUGCAAUAGGUAACAAUCUA